rnacentral:tRNA from 2 species
GGUCCAGUAGCUCAGUUGGAUUAGAGCAACAGCCUUCUAAGCUGUGGGUCCCAGGUUCGAAUCCUGGCUGGAUCACGA